GACGAACGCUGGCGGCGUGCUUAACACAUGCAAGUCGAACGGAAAGGCCCUGCUUUUGUGGGGUGCUCGAGUGGCGAACGGGUGAGUAACACGUGAGUAACCUGCCCUUGACUUUGGGAUAACUUCAGGAAACUGGGGCUAAUACCGGAUAGGAGCUCCUGCUGCAUGGUGGGGGUUGGAAAGUUUCGGCGGUUGGGGAUGGACUCGCGGCUUAUCAGCUUGUUGGUGGGGUAGUGGCUUACCAAGGCUUUGACGGGUAGCCGGCCUGGGAGGGUGACCGGCCACAUUGGGACUGGGAUACGGCCCAGACUCCUACGGGAGGCAGCAGUGGGGAAUAUUGCACAAGGGGCGGAGGCCUGAUGCAGCAACGCCGCGUGCGGGAUGACGGCCUUCGGGUUGUAAACCGCUUUCGCCUGUGACGAAGCGUGAGUGACGGUAAUGGGUAAAGAAGCACCGGCUAACUACGU
rnacentral:rRNA from 1 species